rnacentral:rRNA from 1 species
UGCCAGCCGCCGCGGUAAUACGGAGGGUGCAAGCGUUAUUCGGAAUUAUUGGGCGUAAAGAGCACGUAGGCGGGCGUUUCAGUCCGAUGUGAAAGCGCUACCGCUCAACGGAGCGUUGCCGUUGGAUACUGAACGUCUUGAGUAUGGUAGAGGUUGGUGGAAUUCCAGGUGUAGCGGUGGAAUGCGUAGAUAUCUGGAAGAACAUCCGUGGCGAAGGCGACCAACUGGGCCAUUACUGACGCUGAGGUGCGAAAGCCAGGGGAGCGAACGGGAUUAGAUA